rnacentral:misc_RNA from 1 species
GAAAUGCGAUAAGUAAUGUGAAUUGCAGAAUUCAGUGAAUCAUCGAAUCUUUGAACGCACCUUGCGCUCCUUGGUAUUCCUUGGAGCAUGCCUGUUUGAGUAUCAUGAAAUCUUCAAAGUAAAUCUUUUGUUAACUCAAUUGGUUUCUACUUUGGUAUUGGAGGUCUUUGCAGCUUCACACCUGCUCCUCUUUGUUCAUUAGCUGGAUCUCAGUGUUAUGCUUGGUUCCACUCGGCGUGAUAAGUUAUCUAUCGCUGAGGACACUGUAAAAGGUGGCCAAGGUAAAUGCAGAUGAACCGCUUCUAAUAGUCCAUUGACUUGGACAAUACUCUUAUGAUCUGAUCUCAAAUCAGGUAGGACCACCCGCUGAACUUAAGC